AUCGAACGCUGGCGGCAGGCCUAACACAUGCAAGUCGAGCGGAGCGGCGGACGGGCGAGUAAUGCCUAGGAAUCUGCCUGGUAGUGUGGGAUAACGUCCGGAAACGGGCGCUAAUCCCGCAUCCUAUCAGAUUAGCUUUGGUCGGAUAAGCUAGUUGGUGGGGUAAAGGCCUACCAAGGCGACGACCCGUAACUGGUCUGAGAGGAUGAUCAGUAACACUGGAACUGGGACACGGUCCAGACUCCUACGGGAGGAAGAAGUGGGGAAUAUUGGACAAUGGGCGAAAGCCUGAUCCAGCCAUGCCGCGUGUGUGAAGAAGGUCUUCGGAUUGUAAAGCACUUUAAGUUGGGAGGCGUUACCAACAGAGUAAGCACCGGCUAACUUCGUGCCAGCAGCCGCGGUAAUUC
rnacentral:rRNA from 1 species